rnacentral:ncRNA from 1 species
UCCGAUAAAGGCAAACCCUGAGCGAUCAGGGGGCGCAAAGUAAAUGGGUCUUUAAGUUACAAGGAAGUAACGCGAGAAAGAUAGCCUUACUGCCGAAG